CAUAGGUGAAGCCCGUGGUGGGCAAGGCGCUGCCGGUGCGGCGCGCCGGGGCCCCGCGCGCGCCCGGCUUCGGCUCCAGCCUGGCGCGCGACGGCACGCCGCUCACCAGGAACACACAGGCGAGCGAGAAGGUUGUCGGGUACAAAUCUAUGCGUGCAAGAGAGAGGGCAACCGCGCAUCCUUACUCUCGUCCCGCGCGUCGGUGACUCAAGAGCUGAAUAGGCGCGCGUCGAAAAGAAAAUAAGCGAGGCAAAUACUUUAUAAGCUGUGACUUCCAUAUUCAGAGUUGUAACAAAAUAGUUUAGUUCAAAUAGUAACUGCAAUUAGGUUAGGUUAGGUCGCCCAUGCAUAUCAAAGGUUGCAAGGCAACCGACAUACCAGUCGUACUUGUGUAUCCUAUCCCAGGUAUUAAAAUGACAGAUUGACCCAAUUUGUCCAACUGAUUUGUCAGGAAGCAGGGUAAUUGGGUAGGUUAGUAAAUUUUCAUGAAACUGGUCAUACAAACUGUCAUUUUAGUGUCAAGUACCUCUACCAUGAGUCACUGACAGUGUCAAAACUGACAUAUACGCUAACGUCUACGUAAUUUACUUUCUAUACAUCUCGCUCGCAUUAAUAUGCGAGUACGAGCGAGAUGCAACGUAACUUAGGUUCUCGAUAGCGUUUAUGUCAGUGCCAAACUGGUGGUAGCCACAUAGGAUAUAAAAACAGCUUAGGUGAACGAAGCUGCUUUGCACCAUAAUUGUGGUAUUUUCUAAAAAAAGGGACCCUGUUGUCGAUGGCGCUUACGCUAUUAUUAACGAUGCUCCGAUAUAAGUACAAUGCCGCGCGACGCUGUGCGGCGUAAGCGCCAUCGACAAUAAGGUCCCUUUUCAUAGAAAAUGCCCUAAUUUCAUAUCUAGGUCUUAUGACGGUUUCAUAAUUCGGACACUUGUAACAAAUUACAUCACGAAAUAAUUGGAUUUCGCUGAAUUAAAAUUAAUCAGGAGAAACAACUAGACUUGAUUUUCAUAAGCUGUAAGUCCGACCUUCAUUUGUAACGGAAUGUUUCGGUAAUUAUUAAGUAUUUUAUUUCUAUUCUUAUUUUAAUUUGUAAGCAUUUAGACUAAAUCAUAUUAAGAUUGCGUUGUUUACUGAGAAAAUAUUCUUAGCUUUAAUAUUUUUAAUUUGUUUGCUUUAGUAACAUAGCUUGACUGUUGUAUUUUAUACUGAAAUUGUGGAAUUUCUAUAAUGAUUGUAUUCUUUUUAGUUUUGUAUAAAGGUUUUAUAUGUAGGUACCUUAUUAAAUGUAGUAAAUUAUGUAAUUAUAUUUGUAUUUAGUGUACAUUGUAAGAUGUUGAUCUGAUACAAAAUGUACUACCGACAAUAAGUAACGUUACUUGCCAGGCACUGUUUUAAGAAGUGUGCUUCGUCUGGGUCAAAUCUUAGAAGCUAAUUUCGAAAUACAUUCUUACGUUCUAUUAGGCUUAAUUUUGGUAUAUGAAUAAAAGACCGAUGACAAUGGAAUAUUAUGAUGACAUUGAAUUAUCUGAUGAUGUAGACCGAAAGUGGACAUAGACAGGAUGUGGAUAGGUAGGUGAUACUUAUAAAACAAUGCGAGCGCAGGUUUUUCUUGUGAUAAAAUCGCCUCGGUGAGUGUAAUAGUAGAUGACUUGGAAGGAAAGUGCAAUCGACGAUAAAAGCUUCUACAAAAAAAACAUGUCGUCGUUUUACACACAGUUCUGUUAGCAACUCCUUUAACACGAGUGUGUCUCUGUCUCGAUACCAUUUUUGGACUUGGUUUAUAAAAACAAGGUUUAAGAUGAGAUGUAUUUCACUUAUUACAGGAUCCUUUAGAGUCUAAGCCCACUCUUAUCUUGCUGAAGGCAAGGUAUGAAAGUGUGCACAAGGGUAAUUUCUCUUCGUCAAGACAGACUAGCUAUCGACUGUUUUUUUAUUCAAGAAACAGCCCAAAAUUAAACUGAAACCAGUUUUAGCCGAUAUAAGCCAGUCGGUCAGUUUCGUAAUUUUCCUUAUAGAAAAAUCGCUGAAACUGCUAAAACUGUAAAUUUUCCUCUUGGUAAAAUGGAAACUUCCUUGUGACUUUAAUUCUCUUGAAAUUUUCCGUACCGGUAAAAUGAGGUGACUAGGAAAAAAUGGGGGGUUAUUUUGAUCGUUUUCAAACGGUCCCAAAAUUAGCAUUAUUCUGUUUUUACUCAAAUUGUUCAAGUUCCUAACUAGUUAAAUUGUUAAUGACUUCAUAUUUACCUACUACUAAAAAUCCUGUUUUUUUUUUAUUAUGGCUCAAAAACUGAAAUUUCAGAGCCACCUCGUUUACGGUAAGUAACACAUUAAUUUGUAAGCUCCAUCAUCCUUAAUUUGGGAACAAGAAUUCCGAAAUAAUACUUGUUAUAAGGGCCCUCCACACAUGCGCGAAU